UACGAAGGGGGCUAGCGUUGCUCGGAAUCACUGGGCGUAAAGCGCACGUAGGCGGGUCUUUAAGUCAGGGGUGAAAUCCUGGAGCUCAACUCCAGAACUGCCUUUGAUACUGAGGAUCUCGAGUCCGGGAGAGGUGAGUGGAACUCCGAGUGUAGAGGUGAAAUUCGUAGAUAUUCGGAAGAACACCAGUGGCGAAGGCGGCUCACUGGACCGGCAUUGACGCUGAGGUGCGAAAGCGUGGGGAGCAAACAGG
rnacentral:rRNA from 1 species